ACGGACGAGGCCCCUUCGGGGACCGAGUUAGUGGCGAACGGGUGAGUAACGCGUGAGGAGCCUGCCUUUCAGUGGGGGACAACAGUUGGAAACGACUGCUAAUACCGCAUGAAGCAUUUAGGGGGCAUCCCCUGAAUGCCAAAGAUUUAUUGCUGAAAGAUGGCCUCGCGUCUGAUUAGCUAGUUGGAGGGGUAACGGCCCACCAAGGCGACGAUCAGUAGCCGGUCUGAGAGGAUGAACGGCCACAUUGGGACUGAGAUACGGCCCAGACUCCUACGGGAGGCAGCAGUGGGGAAUAUUGGGCAAUGGGGGAAACCCUGACCCAGCAACGCCGCGUGAAGGAAGAAGGCUUUCGGGUUGUAAACUUCUUUUACCAGGGACGAAGAAAGUGACGGUACCUGGAGAAAAAGCCACGGCUAACUACGUGCCAGCAGCCGCGGUAAUACGUAGGUGGCAAGCGUUGUCCGGAUUUACUGGGUGUAAAGGGCGUGUAGGCGGAGAUUCAAGUCAGGAGUGAAAACUAUGGGCUUAACCCAUAAACUGCUUUUGAAACUGAAUCCCUUGAGUAUCGGAGAGGCAGGCGGAAUUCCUAGUGUAGCGGUGAAAUGCGUAGAUAUUAGGAGGAACACC
rnacentral:rRNA from 1 species